UACGUAGGUGGCAAGCGUUGUCCGGAAUUAUUGGGCGUAAAGCGCGCGCAGGCGGUCCUUUAAGUCUGAUGUGAAAGCCCACGGCUCAACCGUGGAGGGUCAUUGGAAACUGGGGGACUUGAGUGCAGAAGAGGAAAGCGGAAUUCCACGUGUAGCGGUGAAAUGCGUAGAGAUGGAUGGAGACACCAGUGGCGAAGGCGG
rnacentral:rRNA from 1 species